rnacentral:rRNA from 1 species
AUUGAACGCUGGCGGCAGGCCUAACACAUGCAAGUCGAGCGGAGCGGCGGACGGGUGAGUAAUGCCUAGGAAUCUGCCUGGUAGUGGGGGAUAACGUCCGGAAACGGGCGCUAAUACCGCAUACUAUCAGAUGAGCCUAGGUCGGAUUAGCUAGUUGGUGGGGUAAAGGCCUACCAAGGCGACGAUCCGUAACUGGUCUGAGAGGAUGAUCAGGCACACGGGAACUGUGACAAGGUCCAGACUCCUACGGGAGGAAGCAGUGGGGAAUAUUGCACAAUGGGCGAAAGCCUGAUGCAGCCAUGCCGAGUGUAUGAAGAAGGCCUUCGGGUUGUAAAGUACUUUCAGCGGGGAGGCGUUACCCGCAGAAGAAGCACCGGCUAACUCCGUGCCAGCCGCCGCGGUAAUAC